rnacentral:rRNA from 1 species
UACGAAGGUGGCAAGCGUUGUUCGGAUUUACUGGGCGUACAGGGAGCGUAGGCGGUUGGAUAAGCCCUCCGUGAAAUCUCCAGGCUUAACCUGGAAAGUGCAGAGGGGACUGUUCAGCUAGAGGAUGGGAGAGGAGCGCGGAAUUCCCGGUGUAGCGGUGAAAUGCGUAGAUAUCAGGAGGAACACCGAUGGCGAAGGCAGGUCUCUGGGCUGACACUGACGCUCAUGCACGAAAGCGUGGGGAGCAAACAGG